rnacentral:rRNA from 1 species
GAUGAACGCUGGCGGCGUGCCUAAUACAUGCAAGUCGAGCGAACGGACGAGAAGCUUGCUUCUCUGAUGUUAGCGGCGGACGGUUGAGUAACACGUGGAUAACCUACCUAUAAGACUGGGAUAACUUCGGGAAACCGGAGCUAAUACCGGAUGAUAUUUUGAACCGCAUGGUUCAAAAGUGAAAGACGGUCUUGCUGUCACUUAUAGAUGGAUCCGCGCUGCAUUAGCUAGUUGGUAAGGUAACGGCUUACCAAGGCAACGAUGCAUAGCCGACCUGAGAGGGUGAUCGGCCACACUGGAACUGAGACACGGUCCAGACUCCUACGGGAGGCAGCAGUAGGGAAUCUUCCGCAAUGGGCGAAAGCCUGACGGAGCAACGCCGCGUGAGUGAUGAAGGUCUUCGGAUCGUAAAACUCUGUUAUUAGGGAAGAACAUAUGUGUAAGUAACUGUGCACAUCUUGACGGUACCUAAUCAGAAAGCCACGGCUAACUACGUG